rnacentral:misc_RNA from 1 species
GAUUUCAAAUUUGAGGCAAAGGUACUUGCAGCAUUGACUUUUGGUGUGAUAUUUAAUAAACAGGCAUGAAAAGUUUUAAAAAGAAUCAUAGAUCUGAUUACUCAGAUUUGAUUUAUUUAACUAAAAUUGUUGCUGAAUUUAUUUUGAAUCUCAUUUAAAUCCAUUUGGUCCAUUUCUACUUCUACUCACAGUUCAUUAUUGCUAUUGGGAUGAUAAAUCUGAUUAUUCUUUUUCCCUUUUGCUUAGGUUGCA